GUUACCGGCGACUUGACCCUUUUCCUGCUUCGCUGCGGAGCACGCGCUCUUUCCCGAAUUGAUCUUUACCUCGUGAUUUUGACUCGUGUAGUCGUGCCAUUCUUCCCGAUAUCUACUUACUUCCUGGUCUCUUGGCGGUUUUUACGAAAAAUCGUUGCCGUCAUUGCUUUUCUACUAAGUCGCAAAAAAACCAUGCUAUACAUACUCUGCGAACUGUUUACCAAGUUUGCCGCCAUUUUUUAUUUUGCAUAAUUAUCACUUCGGCAAUGGUUGUCAAGUGAAAAGUAUCCGAUGGAUGAUUUUGGGGGAAUCGACGUCAAAGGGAAAUAAAGGAUUCUUCACGAAAUCUUCGUCGAUUCCAUUAUGACGUGUAGUAAUGAGUUUUAGUAUCAUUAUACAUAUAUGUGUAUAUAUUUAUUCAGGCUAGUACAUAUGUACCUGUUCAGUACUUGACGAGUUGCAUGCUCUUCAGGAAUGUGGUCGUUCUUCGAGGUCACUCGCUGCCAAGCCGGCGUCAGUCAUUUUCUUCCGUUAGCCAUAACCAAAGGUGCUUCUUUCGGCUCGUUACAAAUUAACCUGAAAAAUAAAGUCUUAUGGCUAAUUCACGUAAACGGAAGCUGUACGAAUCGAUUCGCGCUUAGACAGCUGCUUAAUGCAAAGACAACCGUUUCCAAUAGCCACUCUUGUCGGCUUCUUCUUCAGGCAUUAGUCGUCCUCGUCGAGGUCGUUCAUGGUUAUAACUUGGAGGUUAUGUCUUCCCUUGGGUUAAACGGCAAGCAAACUGGUUCCCGAUAAAAUUAUUAUUAUUUCUUGUAAAAUUACAGUUUCCAAGACGUUCAGCAUACUGUAUGCACACACAGGAAGAGAGGUUAUGACAUGUAGUUAGUGCUCCUCGUACUAGAAGGUAGAAGAGGAGGUGGGACACAUGGCCUCUGGUCUACCGACUGUACCAGUCUGGAACUAAGGUAACGCGCCUCUUGGAGAAUCAGGAACGGCUACAUACAGAUCCGGGCCCAUGGGCUACGGUUACUUCCGGCUUCCACCUGCAAAGGUUAUAUUAACUUUUUUUCACGGCUGACGAGAUUAAUGAAUGAUACUGGGUGAUAUAUUUUUUUCUCCAUAAUAUUUAACAGCCUCUUAUCUGUUUUCAGGAACAAAAGCAACUGUAGUAUUUUUUUCAAUCAAAUUCUCAAGGAAGACCGGUUUCUCUUCGAUCAUUCUGCAUCGGUGAAACCAUGAAGUGACAUGUUGGCACAGUGAUUUUCCCACUGUUUAUAUUAAGCGAAAAUCUUUUCAUAAGGUUCAGUACGGCUUCUGGAAGAAUGCCAAUGGAAAAUUAAAGAAGAGGGCACUGAUUUUCCAUACUUCGCGACGGCCCUGCCUCCUGGCGCGGCUCUUGUCGUGUUGUGAGAGGGAAAGUAUUUUAUACCACGCUCGGCUUGGCAAGAGAAAGGGGACACGGUUUGCUCCUAAUUUCUGUUUUAACUUCAAGUACCUAUCCCGCCGAGUGUAACUCGACGUUAUUUAAGUUAUAUAUGUAUGCGUAUAGGUAACUGUAUAGCCCAGUAAACAAUCUAGCAUUAUUA